rnacentral:rRNA from 1 species
UACAGAGGUGGCAAGCGUUGUUCGGAAUUACUGGGCGUAAAGGGCGCGUAGGCGGUUCGUUAAGUCCUGUGUGAAAUCCCCCGGCUCAACUGGGGAACUGCACAGGAAACUAGCGGGCUUGAGUUCGGGAGAGGGAAGCGGAAUUCCGGGUGUAGCGGUGAAAUGCGUAGAUAUCCGGAGGAACACCGGUGGCGAAGGCGGCUUCCUGGACCAACACUGACGCUCAGGCACGAAAGCGUGGGGAGCAAACAGG